CCCCUCUCAGGGUCGAACCUAGAGAAUUUCCAGUACUCUCCCAGUCUCGACUGUGGGAGGGAAAGUCAAGCAGAGGCAUACCCAUUCCAUUACUAGCUUGGGCAGUGGCUAGCGAGUGGAAGGCAAUCUGCAACAAGU
rnacentral:snoRNA from 1 species